rnacentral:rRNA from 1 species
GACGAACGCUGGCGGCGUGCUUAACACAUGCAAGUCGAACGGAAAGGCCCUGCUUGCAGGGUACUCGAGUGGCGAACGGGUGAGUAACACGUGGGUGAUCUGCCCUGCACUUCGGGAUAAGCCUGGGAAACUGGGUCUAAUACCGGAUAGGAGCCAUUUUUAGUGUGAUGGUUGGAAAGUUUUUUCGGUGUAGGAUGAGCUCGCGGCCUAUCAGCUUGUUGGUGGGGUAAUGGCCUACCAAGGCGGCGACGGGUAGCCGGCCUGAGAGGGUGGACGGCCACAUUGGGACUGAGAGACGGCCCAGACUCCUACGGGAGGCAGCAGGGGGGAAUAUUGCACAAGGGGCGCAAGCCCGAUGCAGCGACGCCGCGUGGGGGAUGACGGCCUUCGGGUUGUAAACUCCUUUCGCUAGGGACGAAGCUUUUUGUGACGGUACCUAGAUAAGAAGCACCGGCUAACUACGUG